rnacentral:ncRNA from 1 species
CAGGCUGAUCAUUCCCAAGAGUCCAUAUCGACGARUGGUUUGGCACCUCGAUGUCGGCUCGUCGCAUGCUGGGCUGGAGCAGGUCCCAAGGGUUCGGCUGUUCGCCGAUCAAAGCGGCACGCGAGCUGGGUUCAGAACGUCGUGAGACAGUUUGGUCUCUAUCCUCUGCGCUCGUCGGAAUACUGAGGAGACCUGCCCAUAGUACGAGAGGACCUGGGUGGACGAACCUCCGGUACGCCGGUUGUCACGCCAGUGGCACCGCCGGUUGGCUGCGUUCGGAAGGGAUAACCGCUGAAAGCAUCUAAGCGGGAAGCCCGCUCCAAGAUAAGUAUUCCCUGGCUCUUCGGAGCCGUGACCCCCCAUGUAGAACACGUGGUCGAUAGGCCGGACGUGGAAGCCCCGCGAGGGGUGGAGCCGACCGGUACUAACGGGGAAGCGCGACACACAC